rnacentral:lncRNA from 1 species
AGGAUAAAAACUAUCUUAAUCAAUAAUCCAAUCAUCAAUAUGUAAGAACGAUUUCUAAAUUUUCAGCCAAGCUUGCUAUAAAAUGUAAAUCGAACGGGCAUUGGAAACUUACCACAGUGGUCUUCUAAAAAAUCCAAAAGACUAUCUGCGAGUCAUUUCUAUUUCCUCGAUGCCACUUAAAGAAGGCUGUGACGAGUGUGUCUUUUCAUAUUUGGUGCCGCUUGGUUCACCUACAAUAACUCAGAAUAAAGUUAUUAAGAAACCAAAAGAACUGUGUGAAAAAAUGAGAUUGAGAACUUACCGUAGAAAGCCAUAGAUGUUCCCUCACCAGCUUCAAUUUCCCACCUAUGCAACUUUUCUAGAAGAGUCGUGGUGUCCUUCUCUGAUUCUGUAUC